AUGCCUUCCAGCUCCAAUGAUGUGAAAGAGUUCCUAGCCAACGCCAAGGAAGAUUUUUCUGGAAAAAAAAAUGGGAGACUCCUUCUCAGAAUACAGCCCAGUAGGAUCAGUUUGAUAGGAUCAAGACCCUUGGCACUGGCUCCUUUGGGCAAGUGAUGCUUGUGAAACACAAGGAGAGUGGGAACUAUUAUGCCAUGAAGAUCUUGGACAAGAAGAAGGUGGUGAAACUGAAGCAGAUCGAGCACACUAUGAAUGAGAAGUGCAUCCUGCAGGCCGUCAACUUCUCGUUCCUGGUCAAACUUGAAUUCUCCUUCAAGGAUAACUCAAACUUGUACAUGGUCAUGGAGUAUGUGGCUGGUGGAGAGAUGUUCUCCCACUUAUGGUGGAUCAGGUGGUUCAGCAAUGUCCAUUUCUACACUGCACAGGUCGUCCUGACCUUUGAGCAUCUGCACUCUCUGGACCUCAUCUACGGGGACCUGAAGCCCAAGAAUCUUCUCAUCAACCAUCAGAGAUAUAUUCAGGUGAAAGACUUCGGCUUUGCCAAGCAUGUGAAAGGUUAUACUUGGACCUUGUGUGGGACCCCUGAGUACUUAGCCCUUGAGAUUAUCCUGAGCAAAGGCUGCAACAAGGCUGUGGACUGGUGGGCUCUCAGGGUCCUCAUCUACGAAAUGGUUGCUGGUUACCCGCCCUUCUUCGCUGAACAGCCUAUCCAGAUCUAUGAGAAAAUUGUCUCUGGGAAGGUGUGGUUCCCAUCCCACUUCAGCUCUUACUUGAAAGAGCUGCUGCAGAAACUUCUGCAGGUGGAUCUCACCAAGUGCUUUGGGAACCUCAAUAACGGUGUCAAUGACAUCAAGAACCACAAGUAGUUUGCCAUGACUGACUGGAUUGCCGUCUAUCAGAGAAAGGUGGAAGCUCCCUUCAUACCAAAGUUUAAAGGUCCUGGGGACAGGAGUAACUUUGACGACUCUAAGGAAGAAGAGAUCCGGGUCUCCAUCAAUGAGAAAUGGGGCAAGGAGUUUAUUUAG